rnacentral:rRNA from 1 species
UACGGAGGGUGCGAGCGUUGUCCGGAAUCACUGGGCGUAAAGGGCGCGUAGGUGGCCCGUUAAGUGGCUGGUGAAAUCCCGGGGCUCAACUCCGGGGCUGCCGGUCAGACUGGCGAGCUAGAGCACGGUAGGGGCAGAUGGAAUUCCCGGUGUAGCGGUGGAAUGCGUAGAUAUCGGGAAGAAUACCAGUGGCGAAGGCGUUCUGCUGGGCCGUUGCUGACGCUGAGGCGCGAAAGCCAGGGGAGCGAACGGG